rnacentral:rRNA from 1 species
GAUGAACGCUGGCGGCGUGCCUAAUACAUGCAAGUCGAGCGAACAGACGAGGAGCUUGCUCCUCUGACGUUAGCGGCGGACGGGUGAGUAACACGUGGAUAACCUACCUAUAAGACUGGGAUAACUUCGGGAAACCGGAGCUAAUACCGGAUAAUAUGUUGAACCGCAUGGUUCAACAGUGAAAGACGGUUUUGCUGUCACUUAUAGAUGGAUCCGCGCCGCAUUAGCUAGUUGGUAAGGUAACGGCUUACCAAGGCAACGAUGCGUAGCCGACCUGAGAGGGUGAUCGGCCACACUGGAACUGAGACACGGUCCAGACUCCUACGGGAGGCAGCAGUAGGGAAUCUUCCGCAAUGGGCGAAAUCCUGACGGAGCAACGCCGCGUGAGUGAUGAAGGUCUUCGGAUCGUAAAACUCUGUUAUUAGGGAAGAACAAAUGUGUAAGUAACUAUGCACGUCUUGACGGUACCUAAUCAGAAAGCCACGGCUAACUACGUG